UACAGAGGGUGCGAGCGUUGUCCGGAAUCACUGGGCGUAAAGGGCGCGUAGGUGGCGGGAUAAGUGUGUGGUGAAAGCCUGGGGCUCAACCCCAGGUCUGCCAUGCAGACUGUCUUGCUUGAGCGUAGUAGAGGCAGGUGGAAUUCCGGGUGUAGCGGUGGAAUGCGUAGAGAUCCGGAAGAACACCGGUGGCGAAGGCGGCCUGCUGGGCUACUGCUGACACUGAGGCGCGACAGCGUGGGGAGCAAACAGG
rnacentral:rRNA from 1 species